GAUGAACGCUGGCGGCGUGCCUAAUACAUGCAAGUCGAGCGAACAGAUGAGGAGCUUGCUCCUCUGACGUUAGCGGCGGACGGGUGAGUAACACGUGGAUAACCUACCUAUAGGACUGGGAUAACUUCGGGAAACCGGAGCUAAUACCGGAUAAUAUAUUGAACCGCAUGGUUCAAUAGUGAAAGACGGUUUUGCUGUCACUUAUAGAUGGAUCCGCGCCGCAUUAGCUAGUUGGUAAGGUAACGGCUUACCAAGGCAACGAUGCGUAGCCGACCUGAGAGGGUGAUCGGCCACACUGGAACUGAGACACGGUCCAGACUCCUACGGGAGGCAGCAGUAGGGAAUCUUCCGCAAUGGGCGAAAGCUUGACGGAGCAACGCCGCGUGAGUGAUGAAGGUCUUCGGAUCGUAAAACUCUGUUAUUGGGGAAGAACAAAUGUGUAAGUAACUAUGCACGUCUUGACGGUACCUAAUCAGAAAGCCACGGCUAACUACGUG
rnacentral:rRNA from 1 species